rnacentral:lncRNA from 1 species
AUGGGAGUAUAUUCAAAACUGAGAAUGUUUAAAGCUUAACGGUGUUGGUGAUGUGUCUUAAAACUGAUAUGAUCCUUGAUGCGUGUUAGUGUAUAUAUGUUUUUAGAUAUAUAUUUAAGCCCUUUUUACACUUUUAGCCAAGUUUUAAAUUUAUAAAACACGAUAUUUACUAACACUAAACACACAUAUGGGCAAGUGCACCCAUCGUGGACGUAGUAUAGUGUUGGUAAGAUACCGAGGUCGUCCAAGGACACAAGAGCUUUUAAUACCGGUUUAUCCUCAACGUCUAACCAAAUCAAAAAGUUAGAAAAAUGUUUUAAACUAAGAAAAAUAAAAAACUAACUAAAUGCUGAAAAAUAAAAUAAAAUAAAAACAGAUAGACAAGAUGAAUCACUUGGAUCCGACACGUGUAUUAGUAUAACCUUUGAUUAUUUUCGCACUUUUGCACUUGUUUAAGAGAUUAUCUUAGUUAUUGUAGUAGGCCCCUCUUUUGAAGGCGACGUUACCCUCAACCCAGUAGUUUGAGUCAGCAAGGAUACAAUCCUAAAGGGUCGGAUUAUUGAAAGAUAAUGAAUUAAGUUAUUAAUGCAAAUUAUGGUAGGCCCCGCUUUUGGCGGUGACGUUACCCUCGGCUAAGUAGUCUGAGUCAGCAGGGAUACAGUCCUAAAUAGCCGGGUUAUAGUAUUAAUAGUAGUUAACUUAUGAGGGGGUCAAAGAGUUUGGAUCCCCGCCAUCCAAUACCUAUGGGCAUUGAAGGAGAUCCUACUAAAUUUGACCCAGGUCCCAAGCAGGACCUCUAAACGCUGAACAAGGGCAAGACCCUUACCAAACCGUUCCCUUAACCCCCGACCAGGUAGCCAACAUACCUCCAUAUAGACCGUGGAGAUAUGAAUGGUGAAAAUCUUUUAUUUUAUAUAGACAGUAAAAUAAUGCCAAGACACCACGGACAAACGAUAAGGAAAGAUCACCUUCAACAUAAGUAACUAGUUAUUAAAGUCAUUAAUAC